rnacentral:rRNA from 1 species
GAUGAACGCUGGCGGCGUGCCUAAUACAUGCAAGUCGAGCGAACGGACGAGAAGCUUGCUUCUCUGAUGUUAGCGGCGGACGGGUGAGUAACACGUGGAUAACCUACCUAUAAGACUGGGAUAACUUCGGGAAACCGGAGCUAAUACCGGAUGAUAUUUUGAACCGCAUGGUUCAAAAGUGAAAGACGGUCUUGCUGUCACUUAUAGAUGGAUCCGCGCUGCAUUAGCUAGUUGGUAAGGUAACGGCUUACCAAGGCAACGAUGCAUAGCCGACCUGAGAGGGUGAUCGGCCACACUGGAACUGAGACACGGUCCAAACUCCUACGGGAGGCAGCAGUAGGGAAUCUUCCGCAAAGGGCGAAAGCCUGACGGAGCAACGCCGCGUGAGUGAUGAAGGUCUUCGGAUCGUAAAACUCUGUUAUUAAGGAAGAACAUAUGUGUAAGUAACUGUGCACAUCUUGACGGUACCUAAUCAGAAAGCCACGGCUAACUACGUG